rnacentral:tRNA from 1 species
GUCAGGAUGGCCAAGCGGUCUAAGGCGCUGCGUUCAGUUCGCAGUCUGGUUCUGCAUUCGUGGGUUCAAAUCCCACUUCUAACA